UACAGAGGGUGCGAGCGUUAAUCGGAAUUACUGGGCGUAAAGCGCGCGUAGGCGGCUUUGCAAGUCGGGUGUGAAAUCCCCAGGCUUAACCUGGGAACUGCAUUCGAGACUGCAUUGCUAGAGUAUGGGAGAGGGAAGUGGAAUUUCAGGUGUAGCGGUGAAAUGCGUAGAUAUCUGAAGGAACAUCAGUGGCGAAAGCGACUUCCUGGACCAAUACUGACGCUCAUGUGCGAAAGCGUGGGGAGCAAACGGG
rnacentral:rRNA from 1 species